UACGGGGGGGGCAAGCGUUGCUCGGAAUCACUGGGCGUAAAGCGCACGUAGGCGGCUUUCUAAGUCAGGGGUGAAAUCCUGGAGCUCAACUCCAGAACUGCCUUUGAUACUGGGGAGCUCGAGUCCGGAAGAGGUGAGUGGAACUCCGAGUGUAGAGGUGAAAUUCGUAGAUAUUCGGAAGAACACCAGUGGCGAAGGCGGCUCACUGGUCCGGUACUGACGCUGAGGUGCGAAAGCGUGGGGAGCAAACAGGG
rnacentral:rRNA from 1 species